rnacentral:misc_RNA from 1 species
AAGACGUCGGAGAGUCUCUGGGUGCGUCCGCACGCACGCACGCACACACACACACACACACACACACACACACACACACACACACACACAGGCACAGACACGUAUGGGUGCAGCCGCGCCACCGUCGGCACCCAAACCCAUACACGCCCUCAUUCCAUUAUCGUCUUUCUUGUAUCUUUCUUCUCCGGCCCGCCCGCGUGCGUUCGCAUGCAUCGCAGCGGCUCGCCACGUCUGUUGUUGUCUUCGGUCCCUUUCCCUUCUCCAUGUCCUUCCGCCCACUCGGCCUUCUCCAUGCAGCAUCAUGCACUGCGUCAUCACCCCUUGAGACGCCGCUGCGCGGUGUUAUCUGUCGCCUUCUCCAUCUCUGCCAACCGAAAGGCAUCAACGUCGACUCGCGGAUCUGUCGCGUCACAGAGAGCGCAAGGCCCCUCACAGGCGCUGCUAGCGUCUGACGAGCCUCCUUAUUGCACUACUAACCUCUUGCCGGCCAGCUGCUCUUGUUGGCCAUGGGCCGCGGCGCAGGAGUCGCCGCGGCUUGCUCCUGCUGCUGCUGCGGUGCUGGCUCGGCGCGCGCGUGAGAGCGUACUUCGACAAGAGCGCUGCGCCGCCGACCUCCUCUACUUUAUGAGCGCAGAGAGGCACGCGAGGCACCGCCGCGUCGCCGCAAACAGUGCUCCGUUUCUACCGUCGCCACUGAAGGCGCCAAAGAGCGACAGUAUGCGUGACAGCUUGCUCGCCUCGGCGGGGCCUGCACCGCGGCGUGAAGGGCACCCUGGCACGCAUGCCUUUGCCCCCUCUAUCUCCUGGGCAGACCUUGACGUGCGUUUAGCCACGCCCUCCACCGCGAGCCGCCCCCGCGAGCCCCUACCACCUUCACGCGAGGACAACUCUACGAGCAGCUGGCACGCAUCGGUGGCCGAGCACAGGGAUGGUGAGGGCAACUACUGCAGCGGCACAGCGCCACCCUUGUUCCGUCAGCAGCAGGCCUUGUUUGACCUGCGUCGUCGCCUCGCGUACUUGCUCGCCAGCGAGUGUACCGGCGCAGGGGACUUCGCGGGGAAAGAGGUGGAGCCACUACGCAGCAUUGGCCGCCGUACGGCCCUGGCGCUGUCGCUGACGCACAGCAUCUUCAAGGUUUGCGCCGAGAGUGCGUGUGUCUCAGAGGCGGCGAGCAACGCGAACGAGGCUGUCACCGGGGUCGCGCACGACGAUCUGCGACGCCAGUCGGCGUUUGUGCGGCAUCAGCUCACGCAGUCUCGCCGCGCAGACUCCGCGUCAAGCGCCACCGACGAGCCAUCAUCUUCCCUGCUGCGACUUCUGCUGCCUGAUCGGCAGGGCCACUGCCCCUACGUGUACCGCAGUGUAGCGCAGCCCGUCGAACUCACGCCAGCGGAGACGUGCGCACUGCUCACGUGGUGUGCUGAUCAGGUGCGCACGUAUGCGAAUGCCGUGACCGCUGCUGCCAACCGAAAGGACGACCCCGAGUUCCACAGUGCUGUCGUUGGUUAUGGCGCAGCCACUGCAUCGACGGCGAACGGUGUCGAUGCGGCUGAUCAAGGAGGGCUACUGAACAGCGUCUCCUCUGCGAUGGUGCUCCGCAGUGGCGGCAAGCAGGAUGGGGGCGAAGAGGAGAGGAAGAUAAAGGGUUGUCAGAGGACGACGUCACACACAAGGGCCAGCAGCCGACUUCCACGAUGGUCGACCUCUGCCACGCGCCGACCAUCGACGCUCUCGAUGGCGAGGUGCCUCCCGCGCGGCCGCAUCAGCAGAGGCGCAGGUGGUAGCGACAGCACUUUGGCCCCGUCUCUCGGUCUCCUAGAGAGCGAGCUGGCGGAGGAGGUGGGGUCACGUGCUACAGCGCUCAUCGCGCUCACCGCCGCGUUUGCCCGCAUGGCGGCCGAGUCGGCUUUGCCUGCGGCGAACGCGUUCGCAAGUCAUGCUCCUGAGGAUACUACCCGGCAUGCGCAGCCACCAACGUCCGCGAAGCUCCGCGGCGCAGGCGGCUUCUGUGAUGGAGACGACGCUGUCUCGGGCGGCGAGGUGCUGCUGGGUCGUGUCGUGAGCGACGUGGUUUCGGCCGUCUGCGACGCGCUGCACGCGGUGCAGGAUUCCGGGUUGCUGGGUGCGUACGUGGCAAGCCACCUUGGAAGCCGCAACAACGACCCUGACCGUCGUACACGUUCAGGCCCCGAGGAACGAACGCCGGCCUAUGCACCGGCACAGGAUCAGCAGAAGCGGCAGCGCCGUAGCCUCCACCGCCGCCUGUGCUUCUCGCCGCCUGUUCUCCAGUCGGUGCUCUGCUGCGAGCGCGAGUCCUGGUCAAAUGCGCUGCGGCUGACGGAGCGCAUGGCAGCAUGGAACACCGUUCUCGGUGAGUCGCUUGGCGUGAUUCCGCUUGCCGCCACCGCGUCCUCGACACCCGCCCAGCUGGAUGCACUUUCUCCCUCUCCACCGGCGGCAGUAGAUGGCGGCGACACGACUCCGUCGGGUGCGACUUCUCCGGCACACGCGGCAAGCCUGCGAAGCUUGAGCACCGACACGGUCCACAUGCUUUUCUACGUCUUGGCGCAGCACGGGCGCCUCGCUGAGGUGCUGCGGCUGUGCGAGGUUGUUUGCGGCGUACACGCUUCCCACCUCCUUCGCAGCUGCUCGGCCACCGACGAGCGCAAUGCUGAUGCAGACGCCGUUUUCGUGUUGAUGGCGGACCUGGCGGCUGCAAACGCCGACCCGGCCGCUUCCGCGGCGGUUGGGAGUCGUGGCUCGAAGGCGCCACUGAACGUUGUCGUGCCGGAUCGGAUGUGCUGCGUUGAACGUGUCGUGCGCGCUGGAGUCGUGCCGCAGCGGGUACUGAGCAUAACAGAGUACGCCGUGUUGCUGCGCCGCCUGAUGGGCAACCGCAUCUGCGGUGACGCUGCGCGCCACGCUGCUGCUGCCUCUGCUGCUACGACAACGCCACGCGUGAGCCCUCGCGACGGCGUCGGGUGGUGGCUGUCCCCUUCGCAGGUCUGGCGCUUCAGCGCAGGCCUGGCGCACCACAUACGAACCGUGCUGUGCCUGAUUGGCUUUCAAGUAAACGUGCGUCACGGGCAGACAGAUAUGCUGAGCUUGGAGGACCUUUACGUGGUGCUUACCAUCUCGCGGCAGCUGGUGCGCCGGCACGAAGCCGAGCUGCGUCAGCUGCGGGACAGGCAGGCGAACCCAAUGGACGACAGCGACGACGACGGCGGCGACGCAGGCGACGACUUGUCGGUGGACCAACGCAGGCAGUGGGCAAACUGGGGCGUUGUGCCUGAGAGCCCUCGAUCGAGUCCGCUCCCCGCAUCCUUGCGUGUAACACGGUCGCUGUCGCGACCGCCGCUGCAGUGCGCACAGGAGAUGCUCCUGCACCUGCUGCCGGCACGGCGGCACGCAGCGAGUCCUGCCAGCACGCACUACAUUCAACAACUCUGCGCCACCUCCCAUGCUGCUCUUCGCCGUGUGCUGCUGUUAUCCUCCUCAGCGUAUACUGCGAGUGGCGCUGCCGCGCAGCAGGCCACGGCGACGGCACAACUGCCGCCUCGAGUGGCGACUCACAAUCGCAGCACUACGUCCAGCACGGUUGCCGGCAGUGCGGUGCUCUUGUCCCUUGUGUCGCAGGAGAUGCUCUCCAUGCUGCGGGCUGUUCGCUACACACGCAACAUCGCUCUCUUCUGGAACUACGCGCUAAGCACGUUGGCUACUCAGCAGCUACACGGGCAUGACCUUGGCGACUAUGCUGCGGACGCGGUCCGCGGAGGCGGCGGGCUCCCCGAGCACAAUGUGCGCGCUUCCCCAGCCACCAGAAAAACCGGAGACAGGUCGAAACAGGAGGAGGCAGAUCGCGUGCGGGAAGAGGUGGCGUACGCUCUCGCCCUCCAGGCAGAGGCCUCUGUGGGGGAGAGUCUCGUUGACACCCGCCGUCUCGUCGCACCACUUCCUAUGCUGGCUCCGUAUCUGUCCGCGUACACCGUUGCCGCCCUUGUGCAGCGGCCGUUCCGUCGCGCCUUCACCUGGCAGCAGUGCCUGGCGCUACUGCCAUACACCCCCUUAGGCUCACGAAGCCAGUUGUGGCUGGUUCAGCGCAUCGCACAGGACAGCGAGGGGCGACGUCAUGCCUUUCCAGGCGCCCUCACUGAACAGGCGGCCGGCCUGUCCCCCGCGCCCGCGCUGCACACGCCCUUGACCCUUUCCGCCGUAUCGAUAACAGCACUUGAGACAGCAGUGAGGAUGGUGACCGUCCGGGCUGCACCACGGCGACAUCAGCACCACCAGCGCAGCCCAGCAAAGGCAAGCCCGAGCGCGACACACGAUGAGGCCACGGCGGCUCUGCCGGACAGCUUUGCGGCCCCUUCGUUUGAGAAAGAGGCGCCAGCGUCAGUGUCGGCCGACGCCACCGCACACGCGGAUCGCGUUCUUCUCGCUCUGCUCCUCGAGGGCAACUGGAGCCGGGCCUUGCAGGCGUUUGCGGAGGCGCCGUCUCGCGUGCAGGUCGGCGGCGCGCCGCAUGUGGUGCGUCUCCUGGUGGAGGCGGAUGUGUGGCGCGACUUGGGUGAUGCGCAGCGGCGACCGCUCGUACGCCUGGCCGUGCAGUGCUCCGCGCACUCCCGCGGCGGCGCCGCUCGUCUUGUGGAGGAAAUGCUGCAGACGACGCUUGAGCACGGACUGUGGCACACAGGUCUUUCCUUUCAUCAAAGCGUCGCGGCGGAGCGGCCGGAGCUGGCGUGGCAGUGCCGGCGCGCCCAGCGCUACGCUGCACAGCUGUGCUGUGGCCUGCUGGAGCGGACCUCGAUGGCAAAGACGGUUGCCCAGAUGACGAAGGCGGCGCGGCGCAGCCAGUGGUCCGAGGCAGCCGCGUGCUUUCUUCGUUACGCAACACAGCGGCGCGACGAAAAUGCCGUCGCCAACGCCUCCCCGACUCCAGCGCUAUCGUUGGGUGAAUCACGUGCAGAUGCAGAGUCGGACGAUGCUGCUAUUCUCACCACCGCUCCCGCUCCUGCGGCUGGUGAGAGGACAGCGCCAUCACGCUCCGCCCGUACAACGGCAGUGCCUCCGACUACCAGCGAGGAGCUCGAGUCGCUCGCCGCGCUUCUCGAUGCAGCCAGGUCGGGAGACUCACAGCUGUCCACCGCGGCCCGUGCAGCCGCGUCAUCGUCCCCCUUCCACCUGCUUUUCCACGGAGACAGAGCUUCCAUUCUGCCCGAGCUAGCACACGUGGUUCAGACGGCGCGGUAUGCCAUGCUGCACACGCCGGCAUUGUGGAUGCAGGCGCUUCGAUGGCUUCCCACGACAGCACUGCCGCUGCCGUUCAAUCACGAGCAGGCGUGGCGCUCCUUGUGCGCAGACAACACGGCAAAGCUGCAGGCGUUGUUGCCGCCGCCGAGGCAGGCCGGGGCACGUGCUGAUGAGGGGGGCAUAUCGGCACAGCGAACUGUAGUGACACAGACCGAAAACGGCACCGGGACGCUGGUGGCCUUCACGGUGGAGGCAGCACCUUCGCUCGUCGAGGCCGCGCGCCGCGUGCACCGCCCGCAGCACGCCAACGAAGUCGCGAAGGGGCAGCAGGCUGCCGUGGAGAACGCGCUGCGGGUGCUGCACCGCGCCGGCGCCUGGAUGCAGGCCACGCUGCUCUACGAAAAGGCAGUGGAGUCGCACUGCAUGCCAUACGCCGCCUCGUCGACGGUCCUCGAGACAGCUCUGAAGGGCGGUGCACCGUGGCAGGUGACGCUCUCGUACUUUUUCCGCAUGUCGCAGCGGCAGCGCCCCGACGUGAACGCGACAGCGGCGGCAUUGCAGGCCUGCGCGGAGGCCGGGCAGUGGGAGACGGCGUUUCGUGUGCUGCGACAGAGCGUGCUCACGCAGGCGGCCCCGGCUCCUCGAUUGGUGAUACUGGCCGUGAAGACAGCGCUGCAAUGCGGUGUCUGGAGUCGCGCCUUGGCUGCAGCUCACCAAUACCGGCGCACCAACAACUCACAGCUUGCGUACACGGUGCUGCUCACUUACGUGUGUACCCAACACUGGGACGACGCCGUGGAGUACUUCUACGACUGCACUCGCCGAGGACUGCGUCCGCUGGACGCGUCAUUGGAACUGGCCAUCAUCGCGAGCGAGGCUGCCAGCGAUGAGUACCGCAAGACUGCGCUCAUGGUCGGGUCGAUCGCGUCCGCGCUGGAGGACCUCUACCGCAUGAGCGACGUCGUUUUGGAGCACAUCAUCUUCGUGCAGCGGCACGCACAAAGCAGCGCGGCGCAGUGGCACACAGUGUUGGACUCGUUGUGCGGCGCACCGGAGUCGGCUUUCGAUGGCGCUGCAGACAUUGAUGACAGCGGCGACUUUCUUCUUCCCCAGCCAGCAUUGGGUUUACCGAGGGAAGAGGACCACGGCGCCGACAACGGCCACGACGGUGAUAACGUUUGAGCACAAUUUCUCCUUCCUUCUCCAUCGCCCUCCCUCCUCGACAGCGACGGUGAGAGAAGGGAAGAGCUAGACGGACUCGAUCAUCUACUUUGGUGCUGAUGUUUGCUCCGCUACGCACGUGCGCGCGCACGCCUGCGUCUCAAAGAGGCGUUUUUGGUGUGUCUUCUCUUUCUCGCUGCUGAAGUGCUCCGUGCACAUCGUGUGCACACCACACUGCAAUGCGCGUUGCAUCUGCCCUCCCUCUCCCCCUCCCCUCACCACUAAUGUGUGAUGAACGCGCUACAGACACCAAGGCGCACAAGCGAAUGCUGCAUCUCGAAUCUACGCUGCUCUUUGUCGGUUUCGUCUUGCGUUAUUUGGCCCCUGCAUGCGUGAGCGCUGAUCUCUCCGCGUGUGCGUUGCGCGCACGAAGCGAUGAUGAACUCGUGGAAGCCCAAAGACAGAGAAGACCCAGCAGCAUCUCCGACGCAACGAGCCGACCUACGACAGUCCGACAUCAACACAAGACGGACGGGUUGUUUGUUGUCCUACUUCCCUACGGCUGCACUGGCGGUGGGUGCUGAUGGCGCUCGAGGAGCGAUC